rnacentral:sRNA from 1 species
AAUAACUGCGUAGGUGGCAGAAGCAUAGGACCUCUGAACCUUUUUUUCCGGU